ensembl:lncRNA
CUCAGGAAAAAUACUGGAGGUUUAACCCUCUCAGCAUGCCUCUAUAACUCUGGUAUUUUGGAAUAAAAGGAAGAAUUUGAUAAUGGAAUUGGUGGUACUUCCUCUUUUGUGAUUGGCUGUGGAAGAAGCUGCUAUUGCACCAAGUCCCUCCAUCUGUGAGCCCCGUGAGGUGAGUUUCUAAGGCCCUUCUGAAAUCAAGUAGGAGCUAAGGCUACGUUGUUCCACAAAGCAUAGCAUGGGUCUUCUAAGAAGUUAAGUAAAUUGAAAUCUAUCUACAUUAAUGCAAGAUAACAAAAAUAAGGAGGAUAUAUGAGAGAGUGUAUGGGAACUGCUGAGUCACAGCCUGAACCACUGAUGGAGC